rnacentral:rRNA from 1 species
UACGUAGGGGGCAAGCGUUGUUCGGAAUUACUGGGCGUAAAGGGCGCGUAGGCGGCACGGCAAGUCAGGAGUGAAAGGCCUGGGCUCAACCGAGGAACUGCUUUUGAGACUGCCGAGCUAGAGUGCGGAAGGGGCAACCGGAAUUCCCAGUGUAGCGGUGAAAUGCGUAGAUAUUGGGAAGAACACCUGAGGCGAAGGCGGGUUGCUGGGCCGACACUGACACUGAGGCACGAAAGCGUGGGGAGCAAACAGG